UCCGGUUUGUCACCGGCAGUCUCAUUAGAGUGCCCUUUCGUAGCAACUAAUGACAAGGGUUGCGCUCGUUGCGGGACUUAACCCAACAUCUCACGACACGAGCUGACGACAGCCAUGCAGCACCUGUGUUACGGCUCUCUUUCGAGCACCCCCGGAUCUCUCCAGGGUUCCGUACAUGUCAAGGGUAGGUAAGGUUUUUCGCGUUGCAUCGAAUUAAUCCACAUCAUCCACCGCUUGUGCGGGUCCCCGUCAAUUCCUUUGAGUUUUAAUCUUGCGACCGUACUCCCCAGGCGGUCUACUUCACGCGUUAGCUGCGCCACUGACGGGUAAACCCGCCAACGGCUAGCAUCCAUCGUUUACGGCGUGGACUAC
rnacentral:misc_RNA from 1 species